GUCAAAAAAAAGAAGGCUCACGACGGAGACCUAGGCUCUCAGAGACGAUGAAGGGCGCGAUACCUGCGAAAAGCUUUGGGGAGCAGGAAGAAUGCAUUGAUCCAAAGAUUCCCGAUAUAGGGCAACCUCGAGAACUAUCGAUCAAUUCAUAAAUCGAUUAGAGGCAACCUGGUGAACUGAAACAUCUCAUUAGCCAGAGGAAAAGAAAGCAAAAGCGAUUCCCGUAGUAGCGGCGAGCGAACUGGGACCAGCCUAAACCAAUUUUAUUGGGGUUGUGGGAAGACGUUGAACAGCUUUGGUUCGCUUUCUCGGCGAAGUUCAGCGAUUCGCUCGCGCAAGCGCAGCGAACUGAAAGAAGAACCGAAGCGGAGAAGAAGCUUGGCGCUUCGGUCGCGCUUCGCUUUGCGAAUGCGCACCGAACCGAAGAACUUAAUAUUAUAUAUUAAUAAUAUAAUAAAAGACGAAGCAGCUGAAUCCUGCACCAUAGAUGGUGAAAGUCCAGUAGUCAUAUUAUUAAACUUCUUUCUUAUAUUAAUAAAUCUUUAUUUAUAAAGAUUUAUAAGAAUGUCUAUCCCGAGUAGCAUGGGGCACGUGGAAUCCCGUGUGAAUCUGCGAGGACCACCUCGUAAGGCUAAACACUCCUGAGAGACCGAUAGCGAAGUAGUACAGCGAUGGAACGGUGAAAAGAACCCCUGUAAGGGAGUGAAAUAGAACAUGAAAUCGUGAGCUGACAAGCAGUGGGAGGAUUUGAUUAAAGAAUCUGACCUCGUGCCUGUUGAAGAAUGAGCCGGCGACUUAUAGGAAGUGGCAGGUUAAAGAGUAAGAUCUGGAGCCUAAGCGAAAGCGAGUCUGAAAAGGGCAUUAAGUCACUUCUUAUGGACCCGAACCUGGAUGAUCUAACCAUGAGCAAGCUGAAGCUUAGGUAACACUUAGUGGAGGGCUGAACGGACCGAUGUUGAAAAAUCGGCCGAUGACUUGUGGUUAGCGGAGAAAUUCCAAUCGAAUUCAGAGCUAGCUGGUUCUCCCCGAAAUGCGUUGAGGCGCAGCGGCAAUGAUGGGCAAUCUAAGGGUAGAGCGACUGUUUCGGUGCGGGCUGCGAAAGCGGUACCAAGUCGUGGCAAACUCCGAAUAUUAGAUUUGCUUUCCAUAUGCCAGUGAGACAGUGGGGGAUAAGCUUCAUUGUCAAGAGGGAAACAGCCCAGAUCAUCAGCUAAGGCCCCUAAAUGGCUCCUAAGUGGAAAAGGAUGUGAGAAUGCUGAAACAACCAGGAAAUUUGCUUAGAAGCAGCCAUUUUUUAAAGAGUGCGUAAUAGCUCACUGGUAAAGCGUUUUUGCGCCGACAAUGGCCGGGACUAAGGAGCCUGCCGAAGCUAUGAGAUUUGUUCUUUUUUUUAAAAAAGUAACGAAUCGGUAGGGGAGCGUUCUGCACUGGGUGAAGCUUCAACGUAAGUUUGAGUGGACGGUGCGGAAGUGAGAAUGUCGGCUUGAGUAACGAAAACAUUGGUGAGAAUCCAAUGCCCCGAAAACCUAAGGGUUCCUCUACAAGGUUCGUCCAUGGAGGGUGAGUCAGGACCUAAGGCGAGGCCGACCGGCGUAGUCGAUGGCAAACAGGUUGAUAUUCCUGUACUUUUUUGAAGGGGAACCGAGGGACGAAGUCGGCUAAAUUGAGUCUGUGAAUGGAAUGCAGUGGAAACGUUCGAGUGCUCUUAGCUGCGAAGCCAAGAGCAAACAGAUCGAAGAAAAACGAAUCUGUAACAAAGGCGUGAUCCCACUCUCUUGAACUUGUUCGAGUUGAGUGUCAAUGAUGUCAUGCUUCCAAGAAAAGCUCGUACACCAUCUUGCCGCUUGCGGUGAGAUUAAACCUUCAAAAAACCUGUACCUGAAACCGACACAGGUAGGUUGGUAGAGAAUACUAAGGGGCGCAAGAGAACUCUCUCUAAGGAACUCGGCAAAUUGGCCCCGUAACUUCGGGAGAAGGGGCGCCCUUGAUCAAAUUAAGGGCCACAGUAACAAGACUCAGGCAACUGUUUACCAAAAACACAGGUCUCCGCAAAGUCGUAAGACAAUAUAUGGGGGCUGACGCCUGCCCAGUGCCGGAAGGUGAAGGAAGUUGGUUAUUUGGUUUUAUAAUCAGAGAAGCUGACAACCGAAGCCCCGGUGAACGGCAGCUGUAACUAUGACAGUUCUAAGGUAGCGAAAUUCAUUGUCGAGUAAGUUUCGACCUGCACGAAAGGCGUAAUGAUCUGAGUACUGUCUCAGAGAGAGACUUGGUGAAAUAGACUUAUCCGUGAAGAUGCGGAUUAACAACAUUUGGACAGAAAGACCCUAUGAAGCUUGACUGUAUCCUGGAAUUGGGUUCGGGCUUUUCUUGCGCAGUCUAGGUGGGAGGCAUUGAAGAUUUCUUUCCGGAGAAAUUGGAGCCAUCAGUGAGAGACCACUCUGGAAAGGCUAGAAUCCUAAGAGUGAUCCCUAAUCGGGACAUUUGACGUUUUCAGGAAGGCAGUUUUUUUGGGGCGAAAGUCCUCCUAAAAGGUAACGGAGGCGCGCAAAGGUUUCCUCAGUCUGGACGGAAAUCAGACGUUACAGAGUGUAAAGGCAAAAGGAAGCUUGACUGCAAGACCUACAAGUCGAGCAGGGGCGAAAGCCGGCCUUAGUGAUCCGACGGUGUCCGUGUGGAAGGGCCGUCGCUCAACGGAUAAAAGUUACUCUAGGGAUAACAGGCUGAUCUUCUCCAAGAGUUCACAUCGACGAGAAGGUUUGGCACCUCGAUGUCGGCUCAUCACAUCCUGGGGCUGUAGUAGGUCCCAAGGGUUGGGCUGUUCGCCCAUUAAAGUGGUACGUGAGCUGGGUUCAAAACGUCGUAAGACAGUUUGGUCCAUAUCCGAUGUUGUCGUUAGAGCGCUGAGGGGAUCCUUAAAUAGUACGAGAGGAUUUUUAAGGUCGUGCCUAUGGUGUAUCAGUUCUCUCUCCAGAGGGAAACGCUGAGUAGCUACGCACGGUUUAGAUAACCGCUGAAAGCAUCUAAGUGGGAAGCUUUCCUCAAGAUGAGCGCUCUCCAUUAUGCCACAGCUAGACAAGCUGAUGAUAGGUAUCAGGUGAAAGGUCUGUAAGGAUUUGAGCCGAGAUAUACUAAAGGCCAAUUGAUUUUGACCA
rnacentral:rRNA from 1 species